GACGAACGCUGGCGGCGUGCUUAACACAUGCAAGUCGAACGGAAAGGUCCUGCUUUUGUGGGGUGCUCGAGUGGCGAACGGGUGAGUAACACGUGAGUAACCUGUCCUUGACUUUGGGAUAACUUCAGGAAACUGGGGCUCAUACCGGAUAGGAGCUCCUGCUGCAUGGUGGGGGUUGGAAAGUUUCGGCGGUUGGGGAUGGACUCGCGGCUUAUCAGCUUGAUGGUGGGGUAGUGGCUUACCAAGGCUAUGACGGGUAGCCGACCUGAGAGGGUGACCGGCCACAUUAGGACUGAGAUACGGCACAGACUCCUACGGGACGCAGCAGUGGGGAAUAUUGCACAAUAGGCGGAAGCCUGAUGCAGCAACGCCGCGUGCGGGAUGACGGCCUUCGGGUUGUAAACCGCUUUCGCCUGUGACGAAGCGUGAGUGACGGUAAUGGGUAAAGAAGCACCGGCUAACUACGUG
rnacentral:rRNA from 1 species